UACGAAGGGGGCUAGCGUUGCUCGGAAUUACUGGGCGUAAAGGGCGCGUAGGCGGAUAGUUUAGUCAGAGGUGAAAGCCCAGGGCUCAACCCUGGAAUUGCCUUUGAUACUGGCUAUCUUGAGUAUGGGAGAGGUUAGCGGAACUCCGAGUGUAGAGGUGAAAUUCGUAGAUAUUCGGAAGAACACCAGUGGCGAAGGCGGCUAACUGGCCCAUUACUGACGCUGAGGCUCGAAAGCGUGGGGAGCAAACAGG
rnacentral:rRNA from 1 species